UACAGAGGGGGCAAGCGUUGUUCGGAAUUACUGGGCGUAAAGGGCGCGUAGGCGGCCUGCUAAGUCGAACGUGAAAUCCCCGAGCUCAACUCGGGAACUGCGUCCGAUACUGGCAGGCUUGAAUCCGGGAGAGGGAUGCGGAAUCCAGGUGUAGCGGUGAAAUGCGUAGAUAUCUGGAGGAACACCGGUGGCGAAGGCGGCAUCCUGGACCGGCAUUGACGCUGAGGCGCGAAA
rnacentral:rRNA from 1 species